rnacentral:rRNA from 1 species
AGGACGAACGCUGGCGGCGUGCCUAACACAUGCAAGUCGAACGGAGUCCAAGCGGUGGCAACACUGCUGAAGACUUAGCGGCGAACGGGUGAGUAUCACGUGAGCAACCUGCCCCGAAGACUGGGAUAACACCGGGAAACCGGUGCUAAUACCGGAUAUCCCCACCGGAUCGCAUGGUCUGGUGAGGAAAUGAAUUUCGCUUUGGGAGGGACUCGCGGCCUAUCAGCUUGUUGGUGGUGUAACGGACCACCAAGGCUUCGACGGGUAGCUGGUCUGAGAGGACGAUCAGCCACACUGGGACUGAGACACGGCCCAGACUCCUACGGGAGGCAGCAGUGGGGAAUCUUGCGCAAUGGGCGAAAGCCUGACGCAGCAACGCCGCGUGAGGGACGAAGGCCUUCUGGGUUGUAAACCUCUUUCAGCAGGGACGAUUGUGACGGUACUGCAGAGAAGCCCGCACUACGUGCCAGCAGCCGC